ACACUCCUGCGGGAGGCAGCAGUGGGGAAUUUUGGACAAUGGGCGAAAGCCUGAUCCAGCAAUGCCGCGUGUGUGAAGAAGGCCUUCGGGUUGUAAAGCACUUUUGUCCGGAAAGAAAUCCUUGGCUCUAAUACAGUCGGGGGAUGACGGUACCGGAAGAAUAAGCACCGGCUAACUACGUGCCAGCAGCCGCGGUAAUACGUAGGGUGCGAGCGUUAAUCGGAAUUACUGGGCGUAAAGCGUGCGCAGGCGGUUUGCUAAGACCGAUGUGAAAUCCCCGGGCUCAACCUGGGAACUGCAUUGGUGACUGGCAGGCUAGAGUAUGGCAGAGGGGGGUAGAAUUCCACGUGUAGCAGUGAAAUGCGUAGAGAUGUGGAGGAAUACCGAUGGCGAAGGCAGCCCCCUGGGCCAAUACUGACGCUCAUGCACGAAAGCGUGGGGAGCAAACAGGAUUAGAAACCCUAGUAGUCCC
rnacentral:rRNA from 1 species